rnacentral:rRNA from 1 species
AUUGAACGCUGGCGGCAGGCCUAACACAUGCAAGUCGCGCGGCAGCGGGAAAGUAGCUUGCUACUUUUGCCGGCGAGCGGCGGACGGGUGAGUAAUGCCUGGGAAAUUGCCCAGUCGAGGGGGAUAACAGUUGGAAACGACUGCUAAUACCGCAUACGCCCUACGGGGGAAAGCAGGGGACCUUCGGGCCUUGCGCGAUUGGAUAUGCCCAGGUGGGAUUAGCUAGUUGGUGAGGUAAUGGCUCACCAAGGCGACGAUCCCUAGCUGGUCUGAGAGGAUGAUCAGCCACACUGGAACUGAGACACGGGCCAGACUCCUACGGGAGGCAGCAGUGGGGAAUAUUGCACAAUGGGGGAAACCCUGAUGCAGCCAUGCCGCGUGUGUGAAGAAGGCCUUCGGGUUGUAAAGCACUUUCAGCGAGGAGGAAAAGUUGAUGCCUAAUACGUAUCAACUGUGACGUUACUCGCAGAAGAAGCACCGGCUAACUCCGUGCCAGCCGCCGCCGUAA